rnacentral:rRNA from 1 species
CACGUAGGGGCCAAGCGUUGUCCGGAUUCAUUGGGCGUAAAGAGCUCGUAGGCGGUUCAGUUAGUCGGGUGUGAAAUCUCCGGGCUCAACCCGGAGGGGCCACCCGAUACUGCUGUGACUCGAGUCCGGUAGGGGAGUGGGGAAUUCCUGGUGUAGCGGUGAAAUGCGCAGAUAUCAGGAGGAACACCGGUGGCGAAGGCGCCACUCUGGGCCGAUACUGACGCUGAGGAGCGAAAGCGUGGGGAGCGAACAGG